rnacentral:rRNA from 1 species
GAGGCGAACCGGGGGAACUGAAACAUCUAAGUACCCCGAGGAAAAGAAAUCAACCGAGAUUCCGAAAGUAGCGGCGAGCGAAAUUGGACUAGCCCUUAAGCUUUACACGCGUUAGACGAACGGUCUGGAAAGUCCGACGAUACAGGGUGAUAGUCCCGUAGUUGACGACGUGUGUUCAGUGAAAUCGAGUAGGGCGGGACACGUGAUAUCCUGUCUGAAUAUGGGGGGACCAUCCUCCAAGGCUAAAUACUACUGACUGACCGAUAGUGAACCAGUACCGUGAGGGAAAGGCGAAAAGAACCCCUGUGAGGGGAGUGAAAUAGAACCUGAAACCGUGUACGUACAAGCAGUAGGAGCAGGCUUUGUCCUGUGACUGCGUACCUUUUGUAUAAUGGGUCAGCGACUUAUAUUCAGUGGCAAGGUUAACCAUCUAGGGGAGCCGUAGGGAAACCGAGUCUUAACUGGGCGUUCAGUCUCUGGAUAUAGACCCGAAACCAGGUGAUCUAGCCAUGGGCAGGUUGAAGGUUGAGUAACAUCAACUGGAGGACCGAACCGACUAAUGUUGAAAAAUUAGCGGAUGACUUGUGGCUAGGGGUGAAAGGCCAAUCAAACCUGGAGAUAGCUGGUUCUCCCCGAAAGCUAUUUAGGUAGCGCCUCGGACGAAUACUACUGGGGGUAGAGCACUGUUAAGGCUAGGGGGUCAUCCCGACUUACCAACCCUUUGCAAACUCCGAAUACCAGUAAGUACUAUCCGGGAGACACACGGCGGGUGCUAACGUCCGUCGUGGAGAGGGAAACAACCCAGACCGCCAGCUAAGGUCCCAAAUUACUACUAAGUGGGAAACGAUGUGGGAAGGCUCAGACAGCCAGGAUGUUGGCUUAGAAGCAGCCAUCAUUUAAAGAAAGCGUAAUAGCUCACUGGUCGAGUCGGCCUGCGCGGAAGAUGUAACGGGGCUAAGUAGUAAACCGAAGCUGCGGCAAUGUGCUUUUGUAU